rnacentral:rRNA from 1 species
GUGAACGCUGGCGGUAGGCCUAACACAUGCCAGUCGAACGGCAGCACAGUAAGAGCUUGCUCUUACGGGUGGCGAGUGGCGGACGGGGGAGGAAUACAUCGGAAUCUACUUUUUCGUGGGGGAUAACGUAGGGAAACUUACGCUAAUACCGCAUACGACCUACGGGUGAAAGCAGGGGAUCUUCGGACCUUGCGCGAUUGAAUAAGCCGAUGUCGGAUUAGCUAGUUGGCGGGGUAAAGGCCCACCAAGGCGACGAUCCGUAGCUGGUCUGAGAGGAUGAUCAGCCACACUGGAACUGAGACACGGUCCAGACUCCUACGGGAGGCAGCAGUGGGGAAUAUUGGACAAUGGGCGCAAGCCUGAUCCAGCCAUACCGCGUGGGUGAAGAAGGCCUUCGGGUUGUAAAGCCCUUUUGUUGGGAAAGAAAAGCAGCAGGUUAAUACCCCGCUGUUCUGACGGUACCCAAAGAAUAAGCACCGGCUAACUUCGUG